rnacentral:rRNA from 1 species
UGCAGUUAAAAAGCUCGUAGUUGGAUUCCUGGCACGGGGUAGCCGGUCCGCCUUGCAAAAGGUGCGCACUGAGCGGCCUCGGCCAUCCUUGCGAUGGUCUAUCCUGGCAUUCAGUUGUCGGGGUGGGGAUUCGCGACGUUUACUGUGAAAAAAUCAGAGUGUUCAACGCAGGCUUACGCCUUGAAUACAUUAGCAUGGAAUAAUGAGAUAGGACCUUGGCGGUCUAUUUUGUUGGUUUGCACGCCGAGGUAAUGAUUAAAAGGGACGGUUGGGGUUCUUCGUAUUCAAUUGUCAGAGGUGAAAUUCUUGGAUUUAUGGAAGACGAACUGCUGCGAAAGCGUCGAACAAGGACGUUCUCAUUAAUCAAGAACGAAAGUUAGGGGAUCGAAGAUGAUUAAAUACCAUCGUAAUCUUAACCAUAAACUAUGCCGAUUCAGGAUUGGCGGUCGUUUGUUCUC